UUCGUCGGAGUUAAUCGGAAAAAUAUGUCGUCUAUGAAAUUGAUCAUAUUCUUCUUCAUCAUCAUCUUCAAUCUUCUUUUCAUCAUACAAGGUCGUCGGUGGUUCUCCUACUCUUUUUUUUACAUUGCGCGCGCUUCAUUUCAAUUCUUUGAUUCUAAUUCAUUUCAUAGUUGUUUAUCUUGGUAUGAAUGAAUAUAUAUAUGCAGGCACUGAUCAGUUGACAAAACCCAUAGCCAUGGAAGAAGAAAAACAAGAAAUUUCACCGGUGGUAUUUAGUGAUCUUCACUGCAUAUAUCAUAAUGAUAACGGAGUAGAUUUGUGGUGUUGUCCAGUACAUUAUCCCCAUGCAGUUUGUUUUCCUACCAAAGCGGAUUGUGAUAAUUCAGAUCAAUGUGAUAAAUAGCUUAUAAAGUCUACAUCAGAUCGGAAGAAUAAAUUAUUGGAGAUUUUUGAGUUUAUUUUCUUGUGUAUCUCUCGAAUAAUCUGAUCAUUAUUUCAAAUCUGCACAUUAACUUCACUACUAUUGAUCCUUACUACCUGAUUUCUGAAUGAUCAGAAUUUCAAACCCCCGAAAUGCUCCCCAAUCCUAUUUUAUAUGAGCAGGGGUGUAUGUAGAGGGACUAGGGAGGGCAAUUGUCUCCCUUAAAAUUUGGCAAAUUUAAAAGGAUCUAUAUGUAAUUUAUAAUUAUAUAGGGGUUCAAUAAAUUUUUACACUAUAUUAAUAUUUUAGGAAGGUUAACUUAUAAAUUUUACAUUAUAUAAUUAUAAAAUAUUUUUUAAUA
rnacentral:lncRNA from 1 species